UGAAUCUCCAAAAUACGCUCUGCUGCCU
rnacentral:piRNA from 1 species